AGAGUGAACGCUGGCGGCAGUCCUAACACAUGCAAGUCGAACGGCAGCACAGAGGAGCUUGCUCCUUGGGUGGCGAGUGGCGGACGGGUGAGGAAUACGUCGGAAUCUGCCUAUUUGUGGGGGAUAACGUAGGGAAACUUACGCUAAUACCGCAUACGACCUACGGGUGAAAGCGGAGGACCUUCGGGCUUCGCGCAGAUAGAUGAGCCGACGUCGGAUUAGCUAGUUGGCGGGGUAAAGCCCACCAAGGCGACGAUCCGUAGCUGGUCUGAGAGGAUGAUCAGCCACACUGGAACUGAGACACGGUCCAGACUCCUACGGGAGGCAGCAGGUGGGAAUAGUUGGACAAGUGGGCGCAAGCCUGAUCCAGCCAUGCCGCGUGUGUGAAGAGGUCCUUGGUUAGUAA
rnacentral:rRNA from 1 species